CGCAAAGUCUGCCUGCGGCAGGUUA
rnacentral:sRNA from 1 species